rnacentral:rRNA from 1 species
UGUUAUCACGGGAGACACACGGCGGGUGCUAACGUCCGUCGUGAAGAGGGAAACAACCCAGACCGCCAGCUAAGGUCCCAAAGUCAUGGUUAAGUGGGAAACGAUGUGGGAAGGCCCAGACAGCCAGGAUGUUGGCUUAGAAGCAGCCAUCAUUUAAAGAAAGCGUAAUAGCUCACUGGUCGAGUCGGCCUGCGCGGAAGAUGUAACGGGGCUAAACCAUGCACCGAAGCUGCGGCAGCGAACGUAUCACUUAAAGCGAUUCAGCGGGUUACGAUUGACGGAGCGAAGCGACGUCAAAGCGUAUACAAAGUCGAGUCGGUUUAAGGAUACGUUCGUUGGGUAGGGGAGCGUUCUGUAAGCCCGUGAAGGUGGCCUGUGAGGGUUGCUGGAGGUAUCAGAAGUGCGAAUGCUGACAUAAGUAACGAUAAAGCGGGUGAAAAGCCCGCUCGCCGGAAGACCAAGGGUUCCUGUCCAACGUUAAUCGGGGCAGGGUGAGUCGACCCCUAAGGCGAGGCCGAAAGGCGUAGUCGAUGGGAAACGGGUUAAUAUUCCCGUACUUGGUGUUACUGCGAAGGGGGGACGGAGAAGGCUAUGUUGGCCGGGCGACGGUUGUCCCGGUUUAAGCGUGUAGGUGUGUGUUCCAGGUAAAUCCGGUUCACUUUAACACUGAGGCGUGACGACGAGGCACUACGGUGCUGAAGCAACAAAUGCCCUGCUUCCAGGAAAAGCCUCUAAGCAUCAGGUAACAUCAAAUCGUACCCCAAACCGACACAGGUGGUCAGGUAGAGAAUACCAAGGCGCUUGAGAGAACUCGGGUGAAGGAACUAGGCAAAAUGGUGCCGUAACUUCGGGAGAAGGCACGCUGACACGUAGGUGAAGUGAUUUACUCAUGGAGCUGAAGUCAGUCGAAGAUACCAGCUGGCUGCAACUGUUUAUUAAAAACACAGCACUGUGCAAACACGAAAGUGGACGUAUACGGUGUGACGCCUGCCCGGUGCCGGAAGGUUAAUUGAUGGGGUCAGCGUAAGCGAAGCUCCUGAUCGAAGCCCCGGUAAACGGCGGCCGUAACUAUAACGGUCCUAAGGUAGCGAAAUUCCUUGUCGGGUAAGUUCCGACCUGCACGAAUGGCGUAAUGAUGGCCAGGCUGUCUCCACCCGAGACUCAGUGAAAUUGAACUCGCUGUGAAGAUGCAGUGUACCCGCGGCAAGACGGAAAGACCCCGUGAACCUUUACUAUAGCUUGACACUGAACAUUGAGCCUUGAUGUGUAGGAUAG